rnacentral:rRNA from 1 species
GAUUCUGGCUCAGAGCGAACGCUGGCGGCAGGCUUAACACAUGCAAGUCGAGCGGGCGUAGCAAUACGUCAGCGGCAGACGGGUGAGUAACGCGUGGGAACGUACCUUUUGGUUCGGAACAACACAGGGAAACUUGUGCUAAUACCGGAUAAGCCCUUACGGGGAAAGAUUUAUCGCCGAAAAGAUCGGCCCGCGUCUGAUUAGCUAGUUGGUGAGGUAACGGCUCACCAAGGCGACGAUCAGUAGCUGGUCUGAGAGGAUGAUCAGCCACAUUGGGACUGAGACACGGCCCAAACUCCUACGGGAGGCAGCAGUGGGGAAUAUUGGACAAUGGGCGCAAGCCUGAUCCCAGCCAUGCCGCGUGAGUGAUGAAGGCCCUAGGGUUGUAAAGCUCUUUUGUGCGGGAAGAUAAUGACGGUACCGCAAGAAUAAGCCCCGGCUAACUUCGUGCCAGCCGCGGC